rnacentral:rRNA from 1 species
AGAGUUUGAUCAUGGCUCAGAGUGAACGCUGGCGGCAGGCCUAAUACAUGCAAGUCGAACGGCAGCACAGCAGAGCUUGCUCUGGUGGGUGGCGAGUGGCGGACGGGUGAGGAAUACGUGGGAAUCUGCCCAGUCGUGGGGGAUAACGUAGGGAAACUUACGCUAAUACCGCAUGCGCCCUUCGGGGGAAAGCCGGGGACCUUCGGGCCCGGCGCGAUUGGAUGAGCCCACGUCGGAUUAGCUAGUUGGCGGGGUAAAGGCCCACCAAGGCGACGAUCCGUAGCUGGUCUGAGAGGACGAUCAGCCACACUGGAACUGAGACACGGUCCAGACUCCUACGGGAGGCAGCAGUAGGGAAUAUUGGACAAUGGGCGCAAGCCUGAUCCAGCCAUGCCGCGUGAGUGAAGAAGGCCCUCGGGUUGUAAAGCUCUUUUGUCCGGAAAGAAAAGCGCCGGGUUAAUACCCUGGUGUCCUGACGGUACCGGAAGAAUAAGCACCGGCUAACUUCGUG